AAAAUUCAUGAUCCAAAUAUCAACGAUCUAACCCGGUGCAACGCACGGGCACUUUUACUAGUCCCUUAUAAAAAAGAUUGCCUCUAACCUAGCCGCCAGUCCAUCCAGUCUUGAUUUGUUUUUCUUGCUCCAAUCCAAUGUACGAUCUAUGUUCUAAUUGAUGAUGGUACAUAGAUUUUCAUGCGGCUAGCUAGCAGACGCACCUACAGACUACCGGCCACCAUCAAAUGAUUUGUUCUUUGCAGCAUAUUUGUGUGUGUCUCCCCGUGGAUUGCAUUCCAUCAAUGGACUAGCUAGCUAGCACAUGUAUGGAUCUUCUCUUGAUUUUUUUCCUUAUAAGGUUCAUCUCUUGAUUCCUUUAUUUUCCUCCUGUCAGAUGUCUGAUCAACCUGUGUUCUACAAGAUCCGUGUAUACGAGGUCGAUCUGGAGAACGGAUGGCGCAUCCCGUUCAUGACCAAAUCGGCCAAGCUGUGUUUGCUCGUGAUAUAUAUGACGUGAUCUCAAAGCGGUACGUUUGGCCACGACAGGCUCAUGUAUGAAAGCAUGGAGGUACUUCAAAACAAGAUGGUAAUGGAUUUUGGAGCAACAAGCAAGCAUGAAGAAAAAUACGUGCCCCCAGCCUUCAAAUCAAUCAACGUGUUAUAUUGUAUACAUAUGUGUCUCCCCGUAGAAUCCAUCAAUUAGCUUGCUAGCUAGCCAAUACAUGGAUGGAUCCAUCAUCCUGGAUUCCUGGUUACAUACUAUACUUGGGAUUUCCUACAGCCAAAUGUACCGACCAGCAAAGAGAUCAUAUAGUGCAGUCUACGAACGGCCAGAAACAAUGUGCCAGUUCGACAGACUGAAUCGGGUGCUAACAUGGUAAUAUCGAACACUGCAUACUCCAAAUUCAGCUGGUCCCGGGUUCGUUGUAUACUGUAUUACUUUGGAAGAUAUUAUCCUGAUUAAAGCAAUGUGCUGGCCUGUUUUCCUUUGUUCUAGAAAAAAUGUUUUACUCACUUGGGUGAUCUCUCAUAGCAAAUACAUCUUGAUAGAACUAUUCUAAUGUAUUUUCACAAUAUUUUUUCUUUCAGUGAGACAAAUUGGCGCAAAAGCUAUUAUGUGCCUAUGUAGAAAAGUCAUCAGGCAGGCCCAAGCUGACUUCCCUGCACAGUCUUUCCAGCAAUGAAGCAUGAAUAGCUGUUGUCAUGAUUAAGUAUAAGUAUAAGAUUGUUUUAUUCUAACAAAUGGUUAUUUCUUCCACGGUCCUAUGUAUUGGAAGCUGCUAUGUGCACCCAGUCUUUAGUAAAAGCAGGCGGCCCUUAGCAGUCUAUCAGCUAAUGCGAGAUGGAUAACCAGGGACAAGAUUAAUUGCAAUCUCGCCAUUCUAUUUGUUGUUUUUCUUUUCAUAGAUAACCUCAUGGGAAAAUAAUUAAGGUGAUUGUUCUGCUGGUUUAUCAUUAUAUGAUUUAUGAUGUAUCUCGAGUUGAUUAUAGUACAUUUUUGUUUCAAUAUAGCAUGUGUAUGUUCAUCAUUACAUUCUAUACUAAGAAAAGUGCGGGGAUUUUUUUCUAUUGGCUGGCAUUACACACAAAAGGUGUAUGUGACAGUGGUUAGUUUUUAAUUUUGUCUGUAGACAUAAUAUCUAAUAUUUGACGUGCACCAUGAAAAAAAUAUUUAAGCUAUGGUUCCUUUUUCAUUCCACAAAACUAGAGAUUACGAUUUUGCUCCACGAGAUCUAAGAUUUUGACUUUUUCUGUAAUAAAAUCAUCAAGAUUGGAACAUACAUUCACCUAGGAUGAUAUUUAGGCUUGGUAGAACAUAGAUCAAUAAUUCACAAGAUUGUUCAGAUUACGUUUCUAUGUAAUUAAAUUUGUGUGUCUGGUUUAGUUAUUUUAUUAAUUUAAUAUGAAAUACCUG
rnacentral:lncRNA from 1 species